rnacentral:rRNA from 1 species
GGAUUUAUUGGGCGUAAAGCGAGCGCAGGCGGUUGCUUAGGUCUGAUGUGAAAGCCUUCGGCUUAACCGAAGAAGUGCAUCGGAAACCGGGCAACUUGAGUGCAGAAGAGGACAGUGGAACUCCAUGUGUAGCGGUGGAAUGCGUAGAUAUAUGGAAGAACACCAGUGGCGAAGGCGGCUGUCUGGUCUGCAACUGACGCUGAGGCUCGAAAGCAUGGGUAGCGAACAGGAUUAGAUACCCUGGUAGUCCAUGCCGUAAACGAUGAGUGCUAGGUGUUGGAGGGUUUCCGCCCUUCAGUGCCGGAGCUAACGCAUUAAGCACUCCGCCUGGGGAGUACGACCGCAAGGUUGAAACUCAAAGGAAUUGACGGGGGCCCGCACAAGCGGUGGAGCAUGUGGUUUAAUUCGAAGCUACGCGAAGAACCUUACCAGGUCUUGACAUCUUGCGCUAACCUUAGAGAUAAGGCGUUCCCUUCGGGGACGCAAUGACAGGUGGUGCAUGGUCGUCGUCAGCUCGUGUCGUGAGAUGUUGGGUUAAGUCCCGCAACGAGCGCAACCCUUGUUACUAGUUGCCAGCAUUAAGUUGGGCACUCUAGUGAGACUGCCGGUGACAAACCGGAGGAAGGUGGGGACGACGUCAGAUCAUCAUGCCCCUUAUGACCUGGGCUACACACGUGCUACAAUGGACGGUACAACGAGUCGCAAGCUCGCGAGAGUAAGCUAAUCUCUUAAAGCCGUUCUCAGUUCGGACUGUAGGCUGCAACUCGCCUACACGAAGUCGGAAUCGCUAGUAAUCGCGGAUCAGCAUGCCGCGGUGAUACGUUCCCGGGCUUUGCACACACCGCCCGUC